UACGGAGGAUGCAAGCGUUAUCCGGAAUUAUUGGGCGUAAAGCGUCCGUAGGUGGCUAUAUAAGUCUUUUGUCAAAUCGUGCAGCUUAACUGCAUACAGGCGGAGGAAACUAUAGAGCUAGAGUGCGAUAGGGGUCACAGGAAUUCCCAGUGUAGCGGUGAAAUGCGUAGAUAUUGGGAAGAACACCAGCGGCGAAAGCGUGUGACUGGGUCUGCACUGACACUGAGGGACGAAAGCUAGGGGAGCGAAAGGG
rnacentral:rRNA from 1 species